ensembl:lncRNA
GCACAAGAAGCCUUCUCCUUAAAUGGUCAAAGCUCCCAGGAGUUAAAAAGAGGCUGGAGCAGGGAAGAGAGUGAGAGAGAGAGAGAGAGAGAGAGAGAGAGAGAGAGAGAGAGAGAGAGAGAGAGAGAGAGAGGGAAAAAGAAACAUCGAGGCAAGGAACAGAGAGAGCUCCAAAAGCUGCGGAGCUUCACAAGGGAGACGAAAACAGGAGCUGGGAUGAGAAGAGAGUUGUGAGCGAGUGGAGAUCUGGUGAGGGACCAUCUGUGGAUGUUCAGGGCUGCACAAACCACGACGUAUCCCAGAACACGAAUGACCCAACCCAGGCUCUGCAUACUAACUCAUUUGACCUGUGGGUGAACUGCAGCAAUAUAGUUAUCUCGCAGGCCUCUACUUCAGACCCUUUUCCUGUGGGAUUGGUUAAUGACCCAAGCCCACCAAUACACAGCACCAGAGAGAGCAGUUCUGCUACAACUCACAGCCCCUUACCGGAAACUUCCCCCGGACCGGCCUGUGAGGAGCUCCCACACCACCCCACUCCAGAGAGUGUAGCCAGGGCAGACAGGCCAGGUUGUAGCGACAGGUCCGAAGAAAGUGAGAGCAGCGAAGUUUCACCAGAGGAGGUUAUUAUCAGCAGGACCUCCAAGACAAAGAGCAACAAAUGUCCUACACAUAAGAGAAAAGACAGCGGUGGGAGAGAAGAAGUGGCAACAGAGUCCAGACGUUCGGAAUCAGAACUCGGUGAACAGAGUCAAGUCUUUAAGCUUGUGGACAAAGGGAGACCUUCAGACCCAGAGCACUGUCGGAAGCACCAGGUUUUCGAUACACCUACCCUUAGCCCAAGUGAAGGUGUAUCAGAGGGCAGUGGGAGGAGCAAAGAAGAAUCAGAACCCUGUGGGAGGAGCCAAAACGGAUUCUUAAAAGAACUAAGGACAUGCUGUACGUGUAACGUGUCUGAGUUAGAAUCUGGGAAGGAGGAAGUUUUUGAUACAUCUAAAAGUGGGAGUGUCCGAGCAGCUCAGUUUGAAUCUACAGACUCUGCUACAGCAGUAAAUCGCAAUCAGGAUAUCUCUGUGGCACGUGGGGUGCCAGGGCCGCAGGUUCAGCAAGCUUCUCUUCCGCCUCUCCGUUGUGUGGCAGCCCAGGCCUACACCCCUCUCCUUCUCCCAUACACCCGCUCUCGGCCCCCAAACGCCCCCACCAUGCCCACCCUGCCUGAAGAGGAGGAGGAUUCUGCUGAGGACAUCGAGAGUUCCUCCAGCUCCCCCACCAACUACAUGCCAGUUGAAGCCAAGCUAGUGAAUGUGACUACGGCUCCCCCUACAAUUGUCCUUCCAGGAUCAGCCCCCCAGCAGGACCCUCGUCCCUUGGAUAAAACUAGACCACUCAGCCCCAGACUUCGGCUGUCGAGAAACACCAGUGCCUCGGGGCCUCUCACUACAGUAGGUAAGCAACACGAGCCUAAUGCCUGAGCUUGUUUGUGUGAUGACGCAUGGAAUAUAUAUAGUUUCAUGUACUGUGAACUUGUGAACAGUUUAGUCUGAUUUCAGAAAGUGGAAACCUAUACAGAAAGUUCAUCAAUUAAGCUGUUUUUGAUUUAUGACCACU